rnacentral:rRNA from 1 species
UACGAAGGGGGCUAGCGUUGCUCGGAAUGACUGGGCGUAAAGGGCGCGUAGGCGGUUUGUACAGUCAGAUGUGAAAUUCCUGGGCUCAACCUGGGGGCUGCAUUUGAUACGUGCGGACUUGAGUGAGGAAGAGGGUCGUGGAAUUCCCAGUGGUAGAGGUGAAAGUUCGUAGAUAUUGGGAAGAACACCGGUGGCGAAGGCGGCGACCUGGUCCUUGACUGACGCUGAGGCGCGAAAGCGUGGGGGAG